GACGAACGCUGGCGGCGUGCUUAACACAUGCAAGUCGAACGGAGUGGCGAACGGGUGAGUAUUACGUGAGUAACCUGCCCUCAACUGUGGGAUAAGCCUGGGAAACUGGGUCUAAUACUGCAUAGUUGGGGAUGGGCUCGCGGCCUAUCGGCUUGUUGGUGGGGGGAUGGCCUACGAAGGGUGUGUCGGGUAGCCGGCCUGGGAAGGCGGCCGGCCACAGUGGUACUAAGAUACGGCGCAAACUCCUACGGGGGGCAGUGGGGGGAAAUAUUGCACAAUCGGGGAAAGCGUGAGGAGGAAACGCCGGGUGCGGAAUGACGGCGUACGGGUUGGGAACCGCUUUAAGCCAUGACGCGGUAGUGGCAGAAGAAGCACCGGCUAACUACGUGCCAGCAGCCGCGGUAAUUC
rnacentral:rRNA from 1 species